GAUGAAGAACGUAGCGAAAUGCGAUAAGUAAUGUGAAUUGCAGAAUUCAGUGAAUCAUCGAAUCUUUGAACGCACAUUGCGCCCGCUAGUAUUCUGGCGGGCAUGCCUGUUCGAGCGUCAUUUCAACCAUCAAGCCCUGCUUGUGUUGGGGUCCUGCGGCUGCCCGCAGGCCCUGAAAACCAGUGGCGGGCUCGCUAGUCACACCGAGCGCAGUAGCACAUCUCGCUCAGGGCGUGCGGCGGGUUCUUGCCGUUAAACACCCCCUUUUUACAAAGGUUGACCUCGGAUCAGGUAGGAAUACCCGCUGAACUUAAGCAUAUCAAUAAGCGGAGGA
rnacentral:misc_RNA from 1 species